rnacentral:rRNA from 1 species
GUGAGGAAUUUUCCGCAAUGGGCGAAAGCCUGACGGAGCAAUGCCGCGUGAAGGAUGAAGGCCUAUGGGUUGUAAACUUCUUUUCUCAGAAAAGAAUUAUGACGGUAUCUGAGGAAUAAGCAUCGGCUAACUCUGUGUUAGCAGCCGCGGUAAGACAGAGGAUGCAAGCGUUAUCCGGAAUGAUUGGGCGUAAAGCGUCUGUAGGUUGUUUAAAAAGUAUUCUGUCAAAGAUUAGGGCUUAACCCUAGAUAGGCAGAAUAAACUUUUAAGCUAGAGUUUGGUAGAGGCAGAGGGAAUUCCCGGUGGAGCGGUGAAAUGCGUAGAUAUCGGGAGGAACACCAAAGGCGAAGGCACUCUGCUGGGCCAAUACUAACACUGAGAGACGAAAGCGAGGGGAGCAAAUGGGAUUAGAAACCCGUGUAGUCC